rnacentral:rRNA from 1 species
UCGGGAAUUUUGGGCAAUGGGCGAAAGCCUGACCCAGCAACGCCGCGUGAAGGAUGAAGUAUUUCGGUAUGUAAACUUCGAAAGAAUAGGAAGAAUAAAUGACGGUACUAUUUAUAAGGUCCGGCUAACUACGUGCCAGCAGCCGCGGUAAUACGUAGGGACCAAGCGUUGUUCGGAUUUACUGGGCGUAAAGGGCGCGUAGGCGGCAAUUCAAGUCAUCUGUGAAAUCUCCGGGCUUAACUCGGAACGGUCAGAUGAUACUGCUUUGCUAGAGUGCAGAAGGGGCAAUCGGAAUUCUUGGUGUAGCGGUGAAAUGCGUAGAUAUCAAGAGGAACACCUGAGGUGAAGACGGGUUGCUGGGCUGACACUGACGCUGAGGCGCGAAAGCCAGGGGAGCAAACGGGAUUAGAUACCCAAGUAGUCCCUGAGCGGGCUGGCAAG